rnacentral:rRNA from 1 species
AUUGAACGCUGGCGGCGUGCUUAACACAUGCAAGUCGAACGUGAAAGUCCUUCGGGGCGAGUAAAGUGGCGCACGGGUGAGUAACGCGUGGAUAAUCUACCCUUAAGAUGGGGAUAACGGCUGGAAACGGUCGCUAAUACCGAAUACGCUCCCGAUUUUAUCGUUGGGGGGAAAGAUGGCCUCUGCUUGCAAGCUAUCGCUUAAGGAUGAGUCCGCGUCCCAUUAGCUAGUUGGCGGGGUAACGGCCCACCAAGGCGACGAUGGGUAGCCGGUCUGAGAGGAUGACCGGCCACACUGGAACUGGAACACGGUCCAGACUCCUACGGGAGGCAGCAGUGGGGAAUAUUGCGCAAUGGGCGAAAGCCUGACGCAGCGACGCCGCGUGAGGGAUGAAGGUUCUCGGAUCGUAAACCUCUGUCAGGGGGGAAGAAACCCCCUCGUGUGAAUAAUGCGAGGGCUUGACGGUACCCCCAAAGGAAGCACCGGCUAACUCCGUGCCAGCAGCCGCGGUAAUACGGAGGGUGCAAGCGUUAAUCGGAAUCACUGGGCGUAAGCGCACGUANGCGGCUUGGUAAGUCAGGGGUGAAAUCCCACAGCCCNACUGUGGAACUGCCUUUGAUACUGCCAGGCUUGAGUACCCGGANANGGUGGCGGAAUUC